UAAUACGUAGGCAGCAAACGUUGUUCGGAAUUAUUGGGCGUAAAGAGUGUGUAGGCGGCUCUGUAAGUUUGGUGUGAAAUCUCCCGGCUUAACUGGGAGGGUGCGCCGAAUACUGCAAGGCUUGAGUACUGGAGAGGAUAGCGGAAUUCCUGGUGUAGCGGUGAAAUGCGUAGAUAUCAGGAGGAACACCGGCGGUGUAGACGGCUAUCUGGACAGUCACUGACGCUGAGACACGAAAGCGUGGGUAGCAAACAGGAUUAGAUACCCUGGUAGUCCACGCCCUAAACGAUGCAUACUUGGUGUGAGUCCUUCAUUGGAUUCGUGCCGGAGCUAACGCGUUAAGUAUGCCGCCUGGGGAGUACGGUCGCAAGGCUG
rnacentral:rRNA from 1 species